UACACUCCUGCGGGAGGCAGCAGUGGGGAAUUUUGGACAAUGGGCGAAAGCCUGAUCCAGCAAUGCCGCGUGAGUGAAGAAGGCCUUCGGGUUGUAAAGCUCUUUUGUCAGGGAAGAAACGGUGAGAGCUAAUAUCUUUUGCUAAUGACGGUACCUGAAGAAUAAGCACCGGCUAACUACGUGCCAGCAGCCGCGGUAAUACGUAGGGUGCAAGCGUUAAUCGGAAUUACUGGGCGUAAAGCGUGCGCAGGCGGUUUUGUAAGUCUGAUGUGAAAUCCCCGGGCUCAACCUGGGAAUUGCAUUGGAGACUGCAAGGCUAGAAUCUGGCAGAGGGGGGUAGAAUUCCACGUGUAGCAGUGAAAUGCGUAGAUAUGUGGAGGAACACCGAUGGCGAAGGCAGCCCCCUGGGUCAAGAUUGACGCUCAUGCACGAAAGCGUGGGGAGCAAACAGGAUUAGAAACCCCGGUAGUCCCA
rnacentral:rRNA from 1 species